AUUUACCGGAACAUUCCAGGAUUUUUACGUACACUUAUGGAUGCCCUGAGAAAAGACAAAAUAAUCUUUCCUAAUGAUGAAAAUGUUAAAUUCCUUUCUUCUCCUCUUCUCAUCUUACAUGGAGAGGAUGACAGGACAGUGCCUUUGGAGUAUGGGAAAAAGGGAAAUUGGACUAGAGAAAUCUACAGCUUUGAAUGGCCAGCCUUUGAGUCUCUUUCUGUCCCUUACAGGUCUAUGAAAUUGCAUGCAAUGCAUACAGGAACAAAGAGAGGGUCAAGAUGGUUAUCUUUCCUCCUGG
rnacentral:sRNA from 1 species